CAACACCCCACUCGUAUCGCUCUCCUCCCAUACCUUCUCGACCAACGCCACAUUAUCCAUCCAUACCUUUUCCGGCCCCACUCUCAACAAAUGCGUCAUUGAGCGAUGUCGAUCCUGACAGCUCGUUGAGAGCACCGCCGCAAGAAAAGCAGGUAAAGCCGUAUGAUUUGGCGGACGAUCUUGGGUGAGCGGAAUAAGUGAGUCUAACAAAUUGAGGAGCUCGUAUCGCGCAUUACGCAAGACGGGAUGUAAACCUCCAACUUUAUGGACAGACUCGUACAGUAACACGAGCGCCGAGAGGCGCCACAAUUCACCCACCACGAUCCUCUCCAUUCUCACUCCGCUUUCCAUUCCUUCGCUCAUAUUCAUCUGAUGAGGCUGCCAUCCUCUGAUCGCUUUUUCCAAUUCGUCCGCUUGGGACUUGACGGAAAGAGAGGAUGAGGAGGAUACGGAAGAGGAAAGAUUGAUGAUUCCGGCAAGGAGGAUGAGGAUGGAGUCGGGAAGACCGAGGUGGAAGGACCAUGGCUCUUCCUGGGAGGGCGAAGGAGGAUUCGGAUCGGUAGGGAUGUCUGACCAAAAGUUAAAUCUACGCAGCUCGUUAGUGCGUUUUCGCGGGUGAAGUCCAUGUCAUGAGGAAGAGGACAUACAUGGUUUUACGGCCUCUUUCGACGAUACAUCGUCCUAUAUCCGCAGCUGCAAACAUCCUUACCGACCAUGUCUCUGCCGUUCGUAGUUGGGAUAAUGUUAUUGGAGGGUGAUUACUUCUCAUGCCAGAGCGAACGAGUCGGUCACCCAGUGCGAGUACGUUAUACGAUUGUGAAGCACCCGAUCGGAUAUACUCCGCAUGUCGAAGGUUCAUCACGCCCCAUAAUCUAAUUGAUCGAAAUAAGCUCUUUUUGCCCCGGCUUGGGCGAUAAAAUGUCAAAGGAACUCACAGCUCGGCAAGAUGAGACAGGCUUGUGACGAUAACCUCUCUCAGCGACCUCGUCUCAUCUUCAGUCCAUUUCAAACACUCUUCAUCCGCAUUCAACCUCGUUACCACCUUUUGCUCAUACUUUCUCAUCCUCCUUUCCAAUUGCCCAGCUUCAUACGUCUUUUCCUUCCCUUUCCCUUUAGGAUCACGGGGGAGAUGAAUGUUGAAUUCUGAUAUGAGAUCGGGAAUGGGAAAGUCUUGGAGAUUGUUCAUGUUCCCUGAAGAUUUGGAGAAAAGAUCGGUGAAUUGAGAUAAAGGGUAUACCUGAGACAGGGACGAGGAGUAUAGUGUCAUGUAUGCUCUUGCGAGGGCAUGUCUACUGAAUUGCAUGACAGCUGGUCGGGCGUUAGCGGUCUCACCUUUCCGAAGCUAAGGCUUGCAAAAAGACGACAAGACUUACCGCUAUUCUCGUUGUAAGUCCGUAAUCGUGACUGAGCGCUUUCUCGGAUGGAAGUGGGAACUCCGACAAGCCACGAUUCGACGACGCGCACAUCUGAAGUGAGAUACUCCGUCCUUCAUAUGCUUGUCUGUCAUAUUCGGGCUAACCCCGUUAACAACCUGACCUACUCCGCCCUGACUAGGUCCGUUUGAUCCUGGUUGGUUCUGCACUCCAAAUACCCCAUCAUUCCACAAUCCACCGCCGACCUGAACCUCACCCCCGCCCGUGCUUCCACUCCCACUCCCAUUUACAGUGGCAGUCGCAUUCCCAUUCGGACCCUCAUUCCAUGGCAUGAUCGAAUCAAGUCCCAACGCCCCGCACUCUGUCGAGCUCGCCAAGAAAGUUGAAGGUUGAUUGCCAAACAUUGACGCCCAAUCAAGGAGGGACUGCGAGUGAUCGAUAGUCAAGAAUGCUGUCGGAUCGUGGUGUGGGGCAGUCGGAGGUGCGUGCGUGGGGUUGUACCAUGCGAAUGGGACAUUGGUCGGCUGCUGGGUUGAUGACGAAGUAGUGCCAAGGGGGUUGGGAGGUGUUUGGUGGUUAUGGUUUGAAGACGAGCCAGGAGUUGAAUUUGAUAAGAACUGUUGCCCUGCCGCUGCCGCUGCCUGCAUGGAGGUUUGAUCCACAUGAGAAUGGUUAUGAGUGGCAGAGACUGAGCCUGAGGGUUGCGCAUCCGUAGACGACCACUGACUCUCGCUGCUCUCCCGCUGCAAGUUAUUUUCGC
rnacentral:sRNA from 1 species